rnacentral:rRNA from 1 species
UACGUAGGGGGCAAGCGUUGUCCGGAAUCAUUGGGCGUAAAGCGCGCGUAGGCGGCCCGGUAAGUCCGCUGUAGAAGUCCAGGGCUCAACCCUGGAAAGCCGGUGGAUACUGUCGGGCUAGAGUCCGGAAGAGGCGAGUGGAAUUCCUGGUGUAGCGGUGGAAUGCGCAGAUAUCAGGAGGAACACCGAUGGCGAAGGCAGCUCGCUGGGACGGUACUGACGCUGAGGCGCGAAAGCGUGGGGAGCGAACAGG